GACAGAGGUGCCAAGCGUUAGGCGGAAUCACUGGGCUUAAAGCGUGUGUAGGCGGAUUCCUAAGUACCUUGUGAAAUCCCACGGCUCAACCGUGGAACUGCUCGGUAUACUGGCGGUCUUGAGCCACUUAGGGGCUACCGGAACAAAUGGUGGAGCGGUGAAAUGCGUAGAUAUCAUUUGGAACGCCAAUGGUGAAAACAGGUAGCUGGGAGUGUGCUGACACUGAGACACGAAAGCCAGGGGAGCAAACGGG
rnacentral:rRNA from 1 species